UGUGAGAAGCUCCCUGUAAUGUGCUUAGCGCUAAUUGGCAUGCUGCCACCUACUGUGCAGGAUUCACUUGUCUCCUGUCUGUAUAUGUAGCCUGUGCUACGCUCCAGUAGAAUUGGCAGAGAUACAAGCUACCUCAGACAGAAUGUAGACAUCAGCAGGUCAGGUCACAGAGGCAAUUUCAUCAUUGAUACAAUAAUUGAUUUUACAUUUAAUUAGAAAAUAUUUACAUUUAAUUAGAAAAGCAGUAAUUCUAGAACUGUCUUUUUUGUCUCCAGAGAAUAUUGGUGUUGAUUUGUACACACACAUACACAUUUGCUCCUAGUAGCAUCUUCAAUGACAUUAUGGUUGUACUGUGGCGAAAGCUGAUUUGUGUAGUGACCUACUACUGGACAACUCUGUAACCUCUGCAGGACUUGCCGAAAUUGGGAUUAACUUUCGACUCCUCAGACAGAGUAAGAGAGAAUGUGAAUUAGUCCCCCCCCCUUUCAGGAAUUGAUGCCAGUCAUGGGUUUAUAGUGGCAAUCUCUCCCAGUUGUCAGCCACUGACCUCCAAGGGCACUGCCAAAGAGCCCAGCCUUAGCCUUUAAUGAACCUGAGACGUGUGUGAUGGGUUCAGAAAGGUCACUCCGCAGACUUGAACCAAAGCGUUUGAGUCAGACCUAGACAUUGACAGGACAUUGACGACCAAUGACUUGUUUGUCAACUUGUUUGUUGGCCAAUAUGCAGAGUAGCAUUUCUAGUCUUUCCUGUGAUCAGUUAACCACUCUCUGCUACAUGAUAAACAGUACAGUUUGUUAUAUAAACACUAGGUGUCCCUGUAUGAGUUUGCGUGUGUGUGUGGGUCUGUGUGAAUACUUGGGUCAAAUGUCUUGAUAUGGUGCUGGUAGGGUCAAGAGGCCCCACCUGUUACAACAUGAUGUGUGUGUGUGUGUGUGUGUGUGUGUGUGUGUGUGUGAGUGAGAGAGAGAGAGAGUGUGUAUGUUUAUAACCAACUGAGUGAGUGUGUUUGUGGCUUAUCAGUGUGAACACAUUGCUUCUCUGUAAGCCCCUGUACCUCAUGAGCAAGAGUACAAGCACAGAAUCCUCCCAAUCAGGCCCUACCCCCCUGCAGAGUCAUCUUUUCAGAGAAAGAGAGUAGAGAGAGAAGGGGGGGGGGGCAUGAAGGGAAAAAGGAAAAGGAGAGAGGGAGGGAUAUGAAGUAAGAGUGAGAGAAAUAUUAAAGGACAGAGAGAGAGAGUGGGAGGGAGAGAGAGAGAGAAAGAGCUGAACUGGGUCACUGACUGGCCUCAGAGAAGAGGUGCAAAUCAGCCUGUGGGUAGUUCCAGAGAACGGCAUCUUCUAUACCAACAUGAGAGAGAUGUCCAGAGAACAGCUGACCCUGGGGUCCGACCAUCCAACCCACAGUCAGUUGCCAUCUGAGUGUACAUGAACAAGCACGUCUCCGACACAACAGUCACAGGUGUCCACUAAGGGCUGAAGGAGGAUUUGAGGCACGUAAAAUAAAGACAACAACACAUUGAGGCGUCACAUAGUUCCAGCAUUCUUCUCCCAGGUAAGCACUAUUCCGUUCAUAUGGCAGGGACCAUCAUCACAGUUACCACUGACCCC